UACGUAGGGUGCGAGCGUUAAUCGGAAUUACUGGGCGUAAAGCGUGCGCAGGCGGUGAUGUAAGACAGGUGUGAAAUCCCCGGGCUUAACCUGGGAACUGCAUUUGUGACUGCAUCGCUGGAGUGCGGCAGAGGGGAUGGAAUUCCGCGUGUAGCAGUGAAAUGCGUAGAUAUGCGGAGGAACACCGAUGGCGAAGGCAAUCCCCUGGGCCUGCACUGACGCUCAUGCACGAAAGCGUGGGAGCAAC
rnacentral:rRNA from 1 species